AUCCUUUUGUAGUUCAUGAGCGUGAUGAUUGGCUGUUCAUGCGGUUGUGUGACAUGUACCUCCCUCAAACCUUGUUAUGACACCAGCACAUUACCCAUCUGACA